GCUAAGUGAGGAGCAUACUAUAAUGGGAUGGCACUAGAAGCUUUCUUGGGGUCCAUAGUGACUUAUUUUGCAGUUACAAGCACUACAAACACUGGGAUAAUGUGAAAUGUAGCGAAUGUAUGCAUAGAUGCGACCGCACUGGCUGGCUUGUAAACACUGGCACUGAGGCCACAUGUGGGACGCGUCCUGGACAAAUCACAUAAGCUGGCUUGAUGAUGACGAGUGACAUUCCACAUGACAUUGCUGUCAAGUCUACUUUGGACGUGAUAUGAUACAGAUCCCAAGAUUUAUGACAGCCUCUACUAGGUUCCUUGGACAUCUAUUUUCAUAAAAAAAAAAGCCAUACCAUAGGGCGGGGAUAGAACCCAUGGUAUGGUUUGUUUGCAAUUGUGUCAUUACGAUUUCGUGAGUCAUGUUACUAUUUUCAUCUUGCCUGUAGGACAGCAUCCACCUUUGCUGUCAACUACCAGUGCCAAAGGAUCACUGGUACUGAUAAUAAAGGAGAGGUCUUCAGGUGCAGUAUGAUCACUCACUAAAUUUAAAUCCAGUAAUCAGCAUUUUUUUAAAUUUUGAAUGUGGGUUAGGCCAAGUUAAGAAUCAGGUUUAGAAAAAGGUUUAAGUUUAUUAUUCCAGUGCCUGAAUCUAGCCUGUUGAGAAGCUGUGUCAGGCCUAGAGAUGAAUACUGUGUUGAUCUUAGUCUACUGUUGCCAAGACAGGUUCAGAGACAUCAAACAACAGUUCCUUGAUAAUGUGAGAAAUCAUGAAAGUGCUUGGAAAUUCUCUAGUUUCUUCACAGUGGUUAUUUUGUUUACCAUAUAUAAUUAUGUAUAAAAAUCCAUCACAAGUUAAACCUGGUAGGUAAUAGUACAUUUAGAGUAGUGAAUAUAUGGUCAUUCUUGAUUAAAACAGUAGCUCAGUUGAUAGCACCCUUAACUCACAGAUUGAGGAUCUGGGUUUCAAUCUCAGCAAAGGUGGAGAUGUUGGGUAUGUUUCCUCUCCUUACACCUGAAGGCAAAGAGAAGAUGUGGUAAUAUUGUCAAGGUAUUAAUUCUGGGAUUGUGUAUAUAAACAUUGAUUUGAGCAUGUGUAUUAUAGCCAGGUAAAGGACCUCGUGUCUCCAGUGUCUGGGAUUGUUGGUUUGAGCCUCAAUAGGUUUAAAAAAAUAUAUUUGUCAUGUCUGCUCACCUCUUUCAAGACAGAGAUAACGUGAAUGGUGAAAGCAUCACUUUUUUGGGUCAGCCUACCUCGGUGGGAAACAGCCAGUGUGUUUAAAAAAAUGUGAAAAUAGGUCUGGGGGAGGAGAUAAGUAGGGUGAUUGUUUUUCUUUCAGUGAAAAUCACUGACACUUGUCUGUCAUGUGAUGACCCUCUUCAGUAUCACUGGUUGAUCUACUAUAGGGGUGCAGCAAGAAGCAACUGCUACCUUGGGAUGUUGUAGAUACAGCAGCUGAUGUCCCUAUGACUUGCCGCUACUAUUUUGUUUCCUCACUGUUUUGCUUUGCAGUACUUUCACAUAACUCUGAUCUACUGUAUGUUUUGCAUGCUUUUUAAGAUAAUGGAUAAUGAUGUAAUGUUAACAAAGUGAUAAAUAAAUAAUUUAGUGAACUCUUUAUUGAUACAUUUUACUCUUGAGUUGGCUUUUAUCAAGUACAUAGCUCAACGACAACAGUUACAGCUUUUAUGGGGUAUCCGAUGCAGGUAGCCCAUGCAAGGUUUCCUUUACUCCAUGAUGAGGUGUGCUACAUAGUUGCCAAUGUGUUAGUUUGAUUUUAGAUGACACCAAACACCUACAUAUAAUUUCUUUGUUUUCUUGAAACAUUAGCCUGUUUGCAACCACCCAGGGAAGUACUACCGUCCUGCCAGAUGACUGUGAAACAAAAACCUGUAACUGUUUUGCAUGAUGGUAGGAUUGCUGGUUUCUUUUUCUGUCUCAUAAACACGCUAAGAUAACAGGGAUAUCUUGCUACUCCUACUU